rnacentral:rRNA from 1 species
UACGGAGGGGGCAAGCGUUGUUCGGAAUUACUGGGCGUAAAGGGCUCGUAGGCGGCCAACUAAGUCGGACGUGAAAUCCCCAGGCUCAACCUGGGAACUGCGUCCGAUACUGGAUGGCUUGAAUUCGGGAGAGGGAUGCAGAAUUCCAGGUGUAGCGGUGAAAUGCGUAGAUAUCUGGAGGAACACCGGUGGCGAAGGCAGGUCUCUGGGCUGACACUGACGCUCAUGCACGAAAGCGUGGGGAGCAAACAGG